rnacentral:rRNA from 1 species
AGAUUGAACGCUGGCGGCAGGCUUAACACAUGCAAGUCGAGCGGAGAUGAGGUGCUUGCACCUUAUCUUAGCGGCGGACGGGUGAGUAAUGCUUAGGAAUCUGCCUAUUAGUGGGGGACAACAUUCCGAAAGGAAUGCUAAUACCGCAUACGUCCUACGGGAGAAAGCAGGGGAUCUUCGGACCUUGCGCUAAUAGAUGAGCCUAAGUCGGAUUAGCUAGUUGGUGGGGUAAAGGCCUACCAAGGCGACGAUCUGUAGCGGGUCUGAGAGGAUGAUCCGCCACACUGGGACUGAGACACGGCCCAGACUCCUACGGGAGGCAGCAGUGGGGAAUAUUGGACAAUGGGGGAAACCCUGAUCCAGCCAUGCCGCGUGUGUGAAGAAGGCCUUAUGGUUGUAAAGCACUUUAAGCGAGGAGGAGGCUACUGAGACUAAUACUCUUGGAUAGUGGACGUUACUCGCAGAAUAAGCAACCGGCUAACUCGUGUGACCG